rnacentral:tRNA from 1 species
GCGCCCGUAGCUCAGUGGAUAGAGCGCCGGCCUCCGGAGCCGGGUGCGGAGGUUCGACUCCUCUCGGGCGUACCA